GCGGGUGUGGCGGAAUUGGUAGACGCACUGGAUUUAGGUUCCAGCGCCGCAAGGCGUGGAGGUUCGAGUCCUCUCACCCGCA
rfam:Devosia riboflavina strain IFO13584 contig2, whole genome shotgun sequence.